GAGCCCGGCAGUACCUGGGCGCCCCAGAGCUGAGGCCGGCAGUCGGUCUGAGGGGCGGGAUCGGGAACAGGGAAAACUACGGAAAUGCAGCUUGAAAAGGUAGUGUGUGGAAGAGGCGGUCCCAGGCGGCGUGGACCCCCGAGAAGACUGGGACCAGGCAGCAGCCGCGGCGUGGGCUCCCGGCGCUCCUCCCACCUCCCAGCCCGUCGCACGCCGAUGCCCCCGCCCACCGCGCCUGCUGCAGGCCAGCAAGAAACCUGAAAUCAAGAGGAAUCAUGAAAAAAAACCCCUUCUGGCUGCAACCUGAAGGCAUCUCCCAAGCCAGACCGGGGCAGAUAUGAUGAGUCCAACUUCAGUGGGCCUCUUCUUCAAUGGGGGAGCAGCCAGAGAAGAAGCUGAGGGAAGAAGGGUGGGAAGGGCUGUGCAGGAGACUGGCUUUCAGGAAGGAAGGUAGAAGAAAAGGACAGAAACUGCUGGGAGAUCUGAAAGGAUGGUGAGGGACGACAGCACCGAUCCUACCUUGCCUUGCUGACGGUUCCUACACUUUGUGGGGUCACAGCUGCAGUCCACGCCACAGUCCAACUUCUGUCUCCUGCACCCGCACUGCUUGUUCCCACACCAGCCCUUGCAGGAACACUGCAAAGCAGGUUUGUAGAAAGACACAUUACUGAGUCAGAAGACUAGGUUUGAAGUACCUUCCCUUCAUUCUCAGGCCAUUCUAGAAAAACUGGAAAGUACCAUCAACUUUACUAAGCUUCUAUCUCCUCAGUCCUCUCUUUAGUGAAACAAUGAUCACCAAGAACCCCCAUAGGUUUUCUAAGAACAAGUCAUGCCACACUUUUGGGAUAGUAUACUUGAAAGAUGGAUUGGAUGGAUACCAUAAUAAUGCAGGGCAACUGACAAAGAUCCUCAUGGUGAUUUUAUGGCCAAAGUGAAGAACUAUGAGAUGAAUGGGAGUAGAAUUAGGCAUAUUUAAGGACUGAGUAUAGUUGCUCAGUAUCUUUAGAUCUACCCAGCUGUACUUUCAUCCAACUCACAUUUCUACAGUUUGUUUAGUGUCAGCCUGGGCUUUGUCCUCAGCAGUUUAAUCAUUCAACAUUUUAAUAAAUCACUGAUGAUAUGAAAUAAAAUCAUUUACA